GAGAGGCUGGCCUCGGCACGGUCCAGAAGCCCCCUCAAGUGGGAGCACAGCCCAGCCCCAAUCAAGCAUGACCGGGGGUCCCCAGGCAUCUGGGGCUGUUACCGAAACUCUGAUGGCAUCAAAACUGUAAAUACAAAAUUAGGCAUAAAAGCAUAUUUAUCUAGAGGAAAGCUAUGCAAGUGAGGUGCUCUGAAGUUCAAUCCUCAGGAGUCUGAUGAUAAACUCGUUUCUCAUGUCUUUCUUGAUCCUUACCCACCAUUGAAAUCGCUAAGCUUGAAGCCACAGAAUGCCUGGAUCUCAGGAGGCCCUUAAUGCUUCCGUUCACAGUCUUGGCCCCUGGGACUGCAUAUCAACAAUUCCAGGCCCGCCUAGGGGAGAAGAGACCUGGGAUCCAGUUGCCCCUGCCUCCCGCUGCCCUAGCUGGCAGCCACCCGGCUGUGAUGGAGGCCAUCCCGCACCAGCCAGCUCCAAACCAACCUACCGGCGCCAUGAGCAAGCCCAGUCUUCAUCAUGUGAACCCGGCCUUGACCACGAGUCAAGACCACCCAAGUGCUUAGACUUGUAAGCCAAAUAAAUAAUUACUGUU